AACACAUCUCUUCCCCCUCCUCUUCACAGAUAUAUUUGAGCACCAUAAGGGCAUCAGAAACCCUCAGAGAUGCCGCCAAACCCAGAAUCAAGAUCGUAUAUACAUGUGCAUUUGGCCUCGACCACUUCCAUCUCUCAACCAAAGAUCCAUUCAUGACCUGAAUCGAGACUUGCGCGCAUGGCGUAGAAAAUGGACAACGCAAGCUCGAAAUUGUUCCGCUGAAGCGUGGCGGAGAUGAUGGUGGAAGAAUCGUCAGCGGAAACGAUGCCGCCUCCAUUUCUUGAAGAGCUCUGUGCGAUCAUGAGCAAGGCAUCAUCGGCGUCUUUGGCAAAGGCGGCGACUCAGAGGAGGAGCUGGUGGUGAUCGAGCUGGCCAGCAUCCUGAGAAAUCUCAUUGUGGCUUUCACUGAGGGAAGCUCUGGAGAGGUUGUUGGAAGUGGAUCUCAUUGUGAAUAAAUUAAUUAUUGUUUUUCUGUCUUUUUUUUAUUGUUGCUGUUGGUAGUGUUAGUGGAUUGUGAGAAGGAGUUUAUGGGUUGAAGGUAGAGGUAUAAGUCACUGGGUGCAUGUGAUGGUAGGUGAGUGAGGUUUAGUGGUUCACUGGUGAAUGAAUGAAGUUGAACGGUAGUGAAUGAUGAAGAUGAUGAAAAAAUGAAGAUGAAAUGGAGGUGAAGGACAAUAAUAGUGGAAAUUGGGAACUGAUGAUGGUGGUGGAGAUGGG
rnacentral:lncRNA from 1 species